GGGGUAGAGACGCUAGGCCGGCACUGCCUAGGUGGGCCGGGCGGUGCGAGGGUCGCCUUUCAGCCUUUACCUCUACCCACUGAAAUGGAGUAGGUCGGUGAGCGCCGAUCUGCUGGAGAAUCUCAUUAUCCCAUCGGCGCUCUGCCUGCUCCUGGCCUCCAAGCCUCUGAAGCCCCUCGGGUUUCAGCUGCCGGCUACCCUCGAGCCCGUGGUGCCCACGAGAGAGGCGACUUUACGUCAGCGGCCCUGGGCUGAGAUUUGAGAACGCGACCAAGUGGAGAAUGUUGGAGCCAGAUUUUAAAAUCCUUGUCUUCCUUCUGCGUGCUACUUGAUCUAAAUGAGAUACGGCAAAGUCACAGAACCUGUUUUUAUGUUUUUGCCUGAUUCAUACGGGCUUCUCCGGUGAAGAUGGGCCUGAAGUAACGCUUGGGUUGCUUCUGACGUUAUAACUCAUCCUGUAGCUGCAGCAACCGUGGUCCUUGCAACCUCAUAAAAAUGUUGCCAGCAUUGUUUCGAUAGUGCUGCUUAAUUCUUGGAAGGUUCUUCGGACUUCACACAUUCCAGCAGUAGCUCUCUCAGCUCCUGUCCUGCACAGCUUUGAAGUGCUGAAACAGAGAAGAGUAUGAGAAGUGUUACAGAACAUGAAGAUACCCUUGUGGCUCAAACAUACUUAUUUUUAAAAACUCUAAAAGUCUAAAUGUGUCUGUAUCUGGAUAUAUUUUCAGUCAACUUAUGCUGUGUUGGGUAAAGGGUCUUGCUCCGUUGUCCAGAUUGGAGUGCAAUGGCAUGAUCAUGGCUCACUGCAGUCUUGACCUCCAAGGCUCAAGUGGUCCUCCUGCCUUAACGUUCUGAGUAGCUGAACCACAGGUGUACGCCACCACACCUGGCUAUAAAUAACUGCACGAGACUGGGUAACUUAAAAAGGAAAGAGGUUUAAUUGACUCAUAAUUCAGCAUGGCUGGGGAGGCCUCAGGAAACUUACAGUCAUGGUGGAAUGCGAAGGAAAAGAAAGGCGCCUUCUUCACAAGUCAGUAGGAAGAAGUGCCGAGUGAAGGGGGAAGAGCCCCUUAUAAACCCGUUAGAUCUUGUGAGAACUCAGUCGCUAUCACGAGAACAGCAUGGGGGAAAUUGCCCCCAUGAUUCAAUUACCACCACCUGGUCUCUCUCUUCACAUGUAGGGAUUAUGGGGCUUAUGGGGAUUACAAUUCAAGAUAAGAUUUGGGUGGGGACACAAAGCUUAGCCAUAUCACCUGGCUAAUUAAACAAAUAUUUGUAGAGAUGGUAUUUUGCCAUAAUGGCCAGGCUGGUCUCAAACUCCUGGCCUCAAGUAAUCCUUCCAUCUUGGCCUCCCAAAGUGGUGGGAUUACAGGCAUGAGCCACCACGCCUGGCCCACAGGAUUCUUUAUAUAUUCUCUAUAUAAGAUUUUUUCAAUAAUGUGUCACAAAUAUCUUCUUUUAGCUUGGAGUUUAUGUUUUUACUCUAUGGUAACUUUUAAUGACCGGACAUCUUUCUUUUUAAUGUAGCUGAAUUUAUCAAUAUUUUCUUUAUAGAUUCAUGUUGUGUCUUGCUUAAGAAAUACUUUCUACCUUAGGUCAUAAGGAUGCUUUCUUAUAUUAUCUUUUAAAGACUUUAUGUUUUUGCCUUUCAUAUUGAUUGUCAAUCAACCAGUAACUAUUUGUUUCUUUUUGAUAUAUGCAUGGUGUGAUGUAGGAAUCAGAUAACAGUUUUUGACAAGGGUAAUUAAAAUGCCUAGUAGCUUUGGAAUACCUCAUCUUUUUCCCAGUGAUCUGAAGUUUCCUAUGUAUUAUAUGUCAUUACAAACCAUUUUUGCAUGCAUUUGUUUCUGGGCUUUCUAUUCCAUUCAUGGGUCUAUUUAUCUGUGCAUAUAUAUAGACUACAGUUCUUAGUUAUAUAGCUUUAUAGUAAAUCUUAAAAUCCAUUUGCUUAACAUUCCUCUCCAACUUGGUGGCUAUUUGGGGGCUUUUGUUCUUACAAAUAAAUUAUAAAAUCAACUUUAAUUUCAAAAAUAAUAAUAACAAUGGCACAUCCUGUUGGGAUUCAAUUUGAAUUCUCUACAGAUUAAUUUUGGGAGAAUAUACAUAUUCAUGAUAGGGUCUACUCAACAACAGGGGAUAUCUGUCUAUUUGCUUAGGAAUCUUUAAUGUCUCUCAAUAAAACCUUAUAAUUUAAUCCAUAAAGGCAUGCCUGUAUUUUGUUGAAUUUAUUUCUUGAUACAUGUUAUUUUAAUUUCUAUUGUACACAUUAAAAAGUUAUGUUUUUGAUUGUUGCUGGUGUAAACAUUUGCAUUUGAAUUUUUUGCACUGAUUUUUUGUCCCCAAAUUGUUUGUGCCAUCACCAAUAUAAAACUUAUUUGUAGAUGUCUUUGGAUUUUCUUGAAGAAAAUAAAACAGUCA
ensembl:lncRNA HULC hepatocellular carcinoma up-regulated long non-coding RNA